GGUCAGGACCAGGUUACCUGGCACAAAACAAGUCAGGAGCAGAACUGAGAACAAAAACGCCUGUCACAACCAUGAACAAAUGAUCUGGACAGUCAUUGACCUGCUUCUGGGCGUAAUAGCUGGCUGCCAUGAUACUUUGUUCCAUCUACUGAAGUUUCCAUCUGUCUACAGUGAUUGCCUCCCUCAAAAGCUGAGAAUACAAAGUACCGACCUUGAGUCCCUAAAGAGUGAUAUGAACCUGUGAGCUGACAUUACUACAUCAGAUGAGGGCAAAGCAUUGGUUACAUUUCACAAAACCAAAACAGACGGUGGAAUUGUUGCUUGGAAUGGAGAAAUGUAGUGGUUUUGGACAACAGCUAAACCUGAACAUUGGACUCUCACAGACUCUGGCACACAGCUGCACAGCACAUACCACAGUGACAAGCAAAGGGUGUGAAGCCUUUGAUGAGCUAAACUAUUCAUGCCCUAUCUUUAGCAUGUUAAUUAAACAGUCAUGCCCAUUAAUGUGAUUGAACUGAUUGAAAUGUGAAGCUUUGAAGGAACUGUCAUGUCAUAAAUCACUUGCAAAUUACUAAUCAUCACUUUAAUAACCAGUCAGACCUACUGACAUGGAUCAUCUGUUCCUCUUUUCCAUGGUGCACUGGCAAUGGGAUAAUAUAUACUGGAGAACAUUUAACUCCAAAACAGCUGCUCAAUAUCAUGCUUAAUGGGCCAGAUUUUCAGCUGGCCUUAAGCAUGCAUAGUUACAGCUAGGUUAUUUGCUGUAUUUCUUUGCCUAAUAACAGAAUUUGUAAGCACAAAUAUAGCAACUGUGCAUGCAUAUUUGUGCAGAUGUGAUUAGGGACCAUGUUUUGAAAAAGUGUUGCACUGCGUCUACCAUAUUAACCAAAAGAACAAAAUUGUGUUCUCUCUCUCUCUCUCUAACUAGGUCUUAUAUGUCCCUCAAUGUGAGUACCCACCAAACAACAUACAUUUCUCUCUCUUUUCUCCUUCCUGGCCUGGAGCAGAAAUGAUUUCAUUCAUAUAUAGGCAUAUUUGUUUGUUGAUACUUGCAAAAGUAGGUGUAGUAUGUGUAUUUGUAGACUUCAUGGGUAUGUGUUUACUGCAGAGUUAACUCAGGUUAUCUACACUCAAGUUACUUCUCUCCAGUAGCCUAGCUUGAGUGAGAUUCAAACUGCUGUGUCCACACUGUCACUCACUUGUGUGUAUCAUACAGAGUAGUCAUGUGAGCAGCUGAUGAGUUGUGCUAAAUUGAGCUUAGCCAUUCACCCUGGAUGGGCCCGUCAACUUUAGUUAAAACAUCAAUGGUUUUUGUGUGUGGAUGGGACUCAAGUUAAUUUUGCAGUGAAAAUAGUUCUUCCUCACAGGAUUUAAGUCCAAGAAAGGUGCUUUUGCAUUUAGAGUCCUAUGUUCAUUCCUAUUUCUUCUUUCAUAGUCUAGAUCCAGAUCCUGUGAAAAUUCUCCUCCACUCAUAAGCCUUCCCCUAUUGGUUGACAUUUUCAUGGUUCCCGUGAAACAUAGCUGUUGCGGGAUGUCAUGCUCAUGGCAGGAAUAGCAACCACUCAGGUAGUUAGGGCCAAGCCUGUGGAAGGUUUUGAAUAUCACGAUAGAAACACUGAACUGAACUCUAUAUUGACUGGGGAGCCAGUGUAAAGACCAGACCACCAGAGUGAUGAGUUCACAAUGAUCUAUGCUGUUAAGCAGGUGAGCUUUUAUGUUAUGUACCAUUUGGAACUUUAUACCCAGGAACGAAAUCUGUGGCUUCAUUCCUGGAUAUAAGGGCUCUAUCUCCCCCUCCUAUGUGAACAUGUUGGAAGAGAGGAAACUAAUCAAUAAAUUAUGCAGCUCUAAGACAGUCAUUGUUUGGAAGACAUACUACCACUUUCACAGCAGGACUAGACGCGGUAGGGCAGGGGCAGUGGGCAGCCUGAAAAAAGCUUUGAGAUGGGAUCCACUGGAAACCCUCACAUAUGCUCUGCAGUAUCUGGCCAGAUGCAUGCAGAGACUCUCCCACUGUACUCCUCUAAAACAACCCAAGCACUGGUAACAUAGCUAGAGCCAGGGCCAUGCUGCUCUUAGCUUCCAGACCACAGCUGUGCUCUGUGACCCUUGGUAUGGGAAGGGUCACAGAGUGCAGCAAGGAACUUAAUGCUGUUCUAUACACCAUGCAACUCUUUUAACAUGGUCUUUAUGCCACAUAGCCACAGGACUAUGCCACAUGGAGCAGCUAGCUAUCCCCUGACCUCACCCCAUGCUGCCUGGCCAAAGCCCUUUCCCUGUGUGUCCAGACUGCCACGGAGGGCCAAAUACCAUUUAUGCAGAGGGCAGAAAGAGGGUGAAUCAUAUGGUGAUCCAACCUUUCUGCUCCACAUAGGGAAAUGGGUGUUGGUGCUAACAAGGGCUGUUGAUGUGGCAAAGUGAUGUGAGGGCAGUCAUUUGGAGCUACAGGGCUUGAUAAAAAAUUUAUUCUCAUUUUUAAGCCUCUUGUGUGACUUUGUACUUUUCUGAGCCUUUUCACAUGUGAAUUCUCUAAUGGAAGCCUUGUGGACUUGGAAAGCUUAUUCUGGUUACAAGUAUACAGGGUGACAGGUAAAUGAUUACUUUUCCUCUAUCACCACCUCUGAGCUGGGGAUUUUCCACUACAGUGUCAUUGCUUAGGGAAAGUUUUAAAAUGGCAGCAGAAUCUCAAACUGUCUGAUUCUAGUGCUGAUAUAGUGCUGCUUGAUUUGCUUGACUAAGGAAAUGCUGGCAAAAAAAGCUACAGUUGGCAAUUUGCUUGUCUCCCUGCAUAUUUUGGCUCCAUAUCAAUGUUUUAAAGUUUUUUCCAGACGUGUGCAGAAUAAUCUGAACAGCUGUCAUGUGACCAAAUGUGAAUGUGAUGAGAACAUUUUACAUAUACAGUGUGA